GGUUUGUGUUCCGCAAGACGGCCAUUUUUAUUGGGAUUGUCUAUUUGACAUUUGACUGAUUUCCUAUUGGAUAUCAUUCAAAUUUUCUGACCAAUAUCCGGUUGACAUCUGUAUAGCCCAAAACCACUGAUACUGUUCGUUCCCACUAAACGGGUUGGACUUAAAAAAAAGAAGACCCGGUUGUCAACUAAACCAAAAGAGCAAGAGAACCCCACGCAAUCCCUCCCAGCAGCUUCCCUGGACCACACCUGACAACAAAAAGUAGAAGCAAAAGAGCAAUUAAACAUCUCUGCUUGAACUCGCCUCCCAAGAAACAAAUAAAGUUACAGUGAGCAUACACAUAAAUGAAAAAGAAAUUACUUGAGAUUGUCAAGCCCUCCAUCAUCACUAGAGAUUUCCUGAAAUAAAAGUGAAGUGAACAUACACAUAAAUUUUAAAAUGAAAAGAAAUAAUUCAAAUUAAUUAAAACUAGGGAAGAAAAAGAAAUAAAUACCAAAGACAUAGGAUUAGAACCAUCAUCUGCAAGAUCAUUAGGCACAAACAGAUCAUUCAGAGAAUCUGCACUCUCAAGAGAAGAGACUAGUGGUACAUCCUUGUGAGAAACUUUCUGCAUUGAACCAAACCUAAACUCACAAAGGCAAAAAUCAUUAGGCAAAUGGAGCAGAACCAACACAAACACUAUAACCAACAAUCCCCAGACCUAGAUCUAGAAGCUACAAAACCACAAACCAGACAACUGAAUAUUAAACGCAUGGACAAAACAUGAGACUGUAAGCCAUGCAUGUCAUACUUUAACUACAGUUCUCAACCACACAGAUUACAGUGAAAAACUCUAGGGAAAUACACUGUAAGACUCUGGAGAAAUACAUAGUAAGUCAUACUGUAAUUACAGUCCUCAAGCACACAAAUUACAGUGUAAUACUCUACAGAAAAUACAGUGUAAAAGUCUGGUGAAUUACAUUGUAAGUCAUACUUUAAUUGCAGUCAAGCACACAAAUUAUAGUGUAAUACUCUAGGGAAAUACAGUGUAAAAGUCUGAUGAAUUAAAUUGUAAGUCAUACUGAAAUUACAGUCCUCAAGCACACAAAUUACAGUGUAAUACUCUAGGGAUAAGACAGUAAAAGUCUGAUGAAUUACAUUGUAAGUCAUACUGAAAUUACAGUCCUCAAACAUACAAAUUUACAAUGUAAGUCUAGGGAAAUACAAUGUAAAACUCUGGUGAAUUGCAUUGUAAGUCAUACAAAAAUUGCAUUGUAACCAUACAAAUUACAGUGUAAAACUCUAGGGAAAUACACUAUAAUUACAUGAGUGGUUGGGCUAAAUUUACAAAGUAAACUACACAGUGAUCUGGGAGUAUACACAGUGACUCCAGGGCAUAAAAACACUGUAAAUCUGGGCGAAUACACUGUAAAUUACAUGAGUAAUUGAGCUAAAUUACUGUGAACAUAAAUAGGACAAAUUACACAGUGAUUCCAGGCAUAAUAUACUGAAAAAUCUGCAUAUACACAGUACAUGAGUAAUUGGGCUAAAUUCCUGUGAACAUACUAGGACAAAUUACACAGUGAUUCCGGGCAUAAAUACAUUGAAAAAUCUUGCAUAUCUGGGAAUAUACACUGGAAUUAGGGGGGAAAUUACACAAUACUGAUAGCACAAAUUACACUGUAAUCGAACAAUAAAUAACACAGUAUUUGGGAGAAUGACACAGUAAUUACAGAUAUGGGAGAAUUACACUGUAAAGCAUGUUAAUUACACUGUAAAAAUGGCAGAAUUAUACUGCAAAAGGUGGGACAGUGAGGUUCUGCAAACCUAUUACACAGUAGUUACACUGUAAUUCUGGGGGUAUGAUCCACUGUACUUUUGAGCUACAUUACAUGUCUCGGGGGUAAAAUUACACAGUAAUAGAAGCAUCAAAUUCAGAGAGCUUCCUGGAACACAUUCAGACAUGCCUCAUCUACCAGGGGAAAAUCAUAAGCAGCCACCUGCAACUACAAAAAAGCAGGCCAGAUCAUCCCCAACUGUCACCUAACGGCAAGGGAACAGACACCCCAAGCUAGCAGAAAACAGGAAAUCACCCGCUGCAACAACCAGUACGCCUACCUCCACCAUCUACAGCACAAAAUAAAACAAAUCUAAAAGCCUACAUCCACAUCUACACAGCAAAACGGAAACCCUAGAACCCGCAACUACAAAAGCUCCUACACAACGCAGGCUAGCACAAAAGGGGGCGGGUGAAAUUGGGCGGAUUCACCAAGAACAACAAACAGAACAUCCACGAAGACGAGAACUCAGCUAGAUUUGGAACUACACGACCAGAGCACAAGCGGAAACACCUGGGGCCAGCGGGGGGAUUAGGGGAACCAACCUCGGCAGCCGGGGGCAAAGAGAAUAGGGAGGACAAAAUCAAAAUCGAACGGUGGAAUAGCUCGGAAUCGCCUCUCUCCUCCGCCUCUCUCCUUCGCCGCUCGAGCUCUCUCCCUCGGCCUUAUCGAAACAGAGCGACCCAAAUGAAAAGGGAGACGACACCCACUCGGAAAUUCAAGCAGGACAAAAACCAAUAGUACCGCGACGGGGCGGUUUCGGGUUGAGAU
rnacentral:lncRNA from 1 species